rnacentral:piRNA from 1 species
UCAGAGGCGAGUUGACUGUUUUUAGU